UCACAUUGUAAUUCAAUCCCUCUCUACCUGCUGCUCUGAGGGCAGAGAACAUUUCCCUCUCUACCUGCUGCUCUGAGGGCAGAGAACAUUUCCUUGGCCCUCCCUCCUCCAAAAAGAGCUACAGCCAUGUAUAUCUACAUACCUUCUCAAAUGUCCAAAAUUAAACCACCACCUGAAAGGACAGAUAAACCAUACUGCUUAUUAGUCAACAAAGAAUUCACUCUAGAAGGGCACAGCAAGGCAACAUCUGGCUGACCGUCCAACCGAGGCUCCGUAUUCAAAAUUCAACUAAUGGAGCAAGGAACUGGAGAAAAGGAAACAGGAAUAAGGAAACAGUGAUGAGCAGGGUAUGAGGAACAUAAUGCAAGAGUCUAGACUGAGAGAAGUCAGCUGCAAAUGGAGAUGAGAAACAUGGCAGAGGAGUGAGGAGAAAUUUACUCCAGAGGAGGCAAAAUUUCUCAGACUUAAAGCCACCGCACCCAACCUGGGGAAGGAAAUGUUCCUCCAGACAACAACCCUACUGAUUUCAGUGGGAUUGGGAAAGUGAGCAUAGCGGUCAGCCCUGAGGACACCUUGAAUUAUUCAUCAUCUCAAAUGCUCCUUCAGGAAGGGGCUGUGCCAUCUCACAGUGCUGCUGCACAAAGAUCAAAGCCUUUAGAAAGAAUCCACCUACAGGACUGUGGAUUUUGGAAGGCAAGUGUAACCCAAUUACCACUCUGAGUGCUACAUGAAAGUCCGCUUUGUCAGCGUAGGUGAAAGGAACAAGGGUAUUUCAUUGUCUAUUAGCUGCCAAUAUGGAAAACCAGAAUAUUCAGACUAAUGGUAAUUUUGUUUUCUGUAACAAUUAACAGCAGGGCUUUUUCUCUAGAGUUGUGUGUCUUGAAGAGCAGAACACUGCACAUAAUCACAUAAUGCACUGAAAAGCACCAGGCACAAAAGGAUUAGGGAAAGAAAAUGCCCUUUGAGCAAAAAGAAGGCUGGAGUGUCUUAGGGAGUAAAAUCACAGCCUUGUGCCUCCAGACGGCAAAUCUGAGCAGGAGAGCAAUAAAUGUAAUGGGAAUGAAAACA
rnacentral:lncRNA from 1 species